GAAGGCUGAGCAGAUGGGGAUAGCUGCUGGGUUUGGAGGAUGUGGAGAAAUUUGAGCGAGGCCAAGAGAGCAGGUGGAAGCGUUCUGGAUGUUUUCAUGCUUUUAAUGCUUACUUUUUAUGGAAGCGCAGUGGCUGUGGUGUUACCUCUGUAUAGAAGGUUAAAACCAUGAUUAGGUGUUAUCUGCAGCAGGUUUUAGGAGUGUUAAAUUAAUGCAGCAACCAGGAAGGUACUUGGGCAAGAGGGCUGGUGUUCUCUGCUCAGUUCUGGCAGCUGGAUGUGUGCCAGCUCUGACGUUUUUUUUCCUGCUAUUUGCCCAACUACCUCACAAUUAGACCUUCUGAGCUUUCUGAGGCUCUUCUUACUCUUUUCAACUGCAUUUCCUGUUCUCCUUCCCAUACCAUGUCUGACAGCUGUACAUCCUUGGUGUAAUUUAAGUUUUCCACUGAGAGUGGAGAUCAGCUGGACUUCUGUGCUGAGAUACCUUCAGCUGAAGUUGAGUGUAGUCCUGCAGUCUGCUUCACCGGCUCUGGUGUUGGAGCAGCUGUUAAUUCAUUUUGGUGGUCUAGUCGUUGUCAGAUUAGCUUUCUGUUGAACCUGACUGUCAAAUCUCAUACAAGCCAAGUGGGCAGUCAGAAGAAGAGGUCCUGUCUUAUUGUGCAAAUCCACCAGGAGGAGCCUAGCAGGAUAACAAAAGUAUUAAUUGGAUUGCUGAAGGAUGCUGUGGCUAUCUACUUUGGGAUCUCACUUUCUUUAGAUAUUGGAAUUUCACAGUAGAGGGUUUUUAUGAGAUGGUUGCUGUUUCUAGAACCAGAAUAAAUGAUGAUGACAACUGUGGCUACUUUCCAAACC
rnacentral:lncRNA from 7 species